rnacentral:rRNA from 1 species
UUUUCCUACGGGACGCAGCAGUGGGGAAUAUUGCACAAUGGGGGAAACCCUGAUGCAGCGACGCCGCGUGGGUGAAGAAGUAUUUCGGUAUGUAAAGCUCUAUCAGCAGGGAAGAUAAUGACGGUACCUGACUAAGAAGCCCCGGCUAACUACGUGCCAGCAGCCGCGGUAAUACGUAGGGGGCAAGCGUUAUCCGGAUUUACUGGGUGUAAAGGGAGCGUAGGUGGCAGGGCAAGUCAGAUGUGAAAACCCGGGGCUCAACUCCGGGAGUGCAUUUGAAACUGGCGUUCUUGAGUGGGCGAGAA